rnacentral:misc_RNA from 1 species
UCCGGUUUAACACCGGCAGUCUCCAUAGAGUGCCCAACUGAAUGAUGGCAACUAGGGAUAAGGGUUGCGCUCGUUAAGGGACUUAACCCGACAUCUCACGAUACGAGCUGACGACAGCCAUGCAGCACCUAAACUACAAGUCCCUUGCGGGAAGACCGUACUUCUACGGUUGUCUUGUAUUGUCUAGCCCAGGUAAGGUUCUUCGCGUUGCAUCGAAUUAAACCACAUGCUCCACCGCUUGUGCGGGCCCCCGUCAAUUCCUUUGAGUUUUAACCUUGCGGCCGUACUUCCCAGGCGGGGUACUUAAUGCGUUAGCUUCGGCACUGCAGGGGUCAAUUCCCGCAACACCUAGUACCCAUCGUUUACGGCGUGGACUAC